UUGUCUCAAAGAUUAAGCCAUGCAUGUCUCAGUACGAGCCGCAUCAAGGUGAAACCGCGAAAGGCUCAUUAAAUCAGUUAUGGUUCCUUAGAUCGUACCCACAUUUACUUGGAUAACUGUGGCAAUUCUAGAGCUAAUACAUGCAAACAGAGCUCCGACCGGAGACGGAAGGAGCGCUUUUAUUAGAUCAAAACCAAUCGGCGGCGGGCCCGUUCACGCGGCGUCCGUCCGUCGUCCUCACUGGUGACUCUGAAUAACUCUAUGCCGAUCGCACGGUCUCGCACCGGCGACGCGUCUUUCAAAUGUCUGCCUUAUCAACUGUCGAUGGUAGGUUCUGCGCCUACCAUGGUCGUAACGGGUAACGGGGAAUCAGGGUUCGAUUCCGGAGAGGGAGCCUGAGAAACGGCUACCACAUCCAAGGAAGGCAGCAGGCGCGCAAAUUACCCACUCCCGGCACGGGGAGGUAGUGACGAAAAAUAACGAUACGAGACUCAUCCGAGGCUUCGUAAUCGGAAUGAGUACACUUUAAAUCCUUUAACGAGGAUCAAUUGGAGGGCAAGUCUGGUGCCAGCAGCCGCGGUAAUUCCAGCUCCAAUAGCGUAUAUUAAAGUUGUUGCGGUUAAAAAGCUCGUAGUUGAAUCUGUGUCCCACGCUGUCGGUUCAUCGCCCGCGGUGUUCAACUGGCACGUCUCGUGGGACGUCCUGCCGGUGGGCAAGCGAGCGUCGCGUUGCCGGCGGUCGAUCAGCGACGGGCGGGUCGCGUGCGGUACAGUGCGUCGCGGCGCGCGGUCGUCUUAACCGGCGGUCCGUUGCGUCCGGCGCGCCCCGUGCGUCCUCCGUCGCCCGGCCGUUGUGCGCGCACCGCACGAUUGCCCGACUCCACAAUCCCGCCGCGGUGCUCUUCAUCGAGUGUCGAGGUGGGCCGGCACGUUUACUUUGAACAAAUUAGAGUGCUCAAAGCAGGCCAGAGUCCAGCCUGAAUACUGUGUGCAUGGAAUAAUGGAACAGGACCUCGGUUCUAUUUUGUUGGUUUUCGGAAGCCCGAGGUAAUGAUUAAUAGGGACAGAUGGGGGCAUUCGUAUUGCGACGUUAGAGGUGAAAUUCUUGGAUCGUCGCAAGACGGACGGAAGCGAAAGCAUUUGCCAAAAAUGUUUUCAUUAAUCAAGAACGAAAGUCAGAGGUUCGAAGGCGAUCAGAUACCGCCCUAGUUCUGACCAUAAACGAUGCCAGCUGGCGAUCCGCCGACGUUCCUCCGAUGACUCGGCGGGCAGCCUCCGGGAAACCAAAGCUUCUGGGUUCCGGGGGAAGUAUGGUUGCAAAGCUGAAACUUAAAGGAAUUGACGGAAGGGCACCACCAGGAGUGGAGCCUGCGGCUUAAUUUGACUCAACACGGGAAACCUCACCAGGCCCGGACACCGGAAGGAUUGACAGAUUGAGAGCUCUUUCUUGAUUCGGUGGGUGGUGGUGCAUGGCCGUUCUUAGUUGGUGGAGCGAUUUGUCUGGUUAAUUCCGAUAACGAACGAGACUCUAGCCUGCUAACUAGGCGUAACAUUUCCGGUAUCUGGAAGGCUCGCGUCGGACGUUUCGGCGUCGGUCGCGGGGUGCGCGCCCGCGUGUACCUCCGGCCGUGCGUCCGGCCGUCCGUUCGCGGUUUUUACUACCGGCGUUCAAUGAUAUCUUCUUAGAGGGACAGGCGGCUCCUAGCCGCACGAGAUUGAGCAAUAACAGGUCUGUGAUGCCCUUAGAUGUUCUGGGCCGCACGCGCGCUACACUGAAGGAAUCAGCGUGUCCUCCCUGGCCGAGCGGUCCGGGUAACCCGCUGAACCUCCUUCGUGCUAGGGAUUGGGGCUUGCAAUUGUUCCCCAUGAACGAGGAAUUCCCAGUAAGCGCGAGUCAUAAGCUCGCGUUGAUUACGUCCCUGCCCUUUGUACACACCGCCCGUCGCUACUACCGAUUGAAUGAUUUAGUGAGGUCUUCGGACCGGUACGCGGCGGCGUUCCGACGUCGCCGAUGUCGCUGGGAAGAUGACCAAACUUGAUCAUUU
rnacentral:rRNA from 1 species